UACGAAGGGUGCAAGCGUUAGUCGGAAUUACUGGGCGUAAAGCGUGCGUAGGCGGUUUCCUAAGUCGGAUGGGAAAGCCCUGGGCUCAACCUGGGAAUGGCACUCGAUACUGGGAAGCUGGAGUGCGGUAGAGGAGGGUGGAAUUCCCGGUGUAGCGGUGAAAUGCGUAGAGAUCGGGAGGAACAUCAGUGGCGAAGGCGACCCUCUGGACCAGCACUGACGCUGAGGCACGAAAGCGUGGGGAGCAAACAGG
rnacentral:rRNA from 1 species